rnacentral:ncRNA from 1 species
CUUUCGGAGAGUUUGAUCCUGGCUCAGGACGAACGCUGGCGGCGUGCCUAAUACAUGCAAGUCGAGCGGACUGAUGGGAGCUUGCUCCCUGAUGUCAGCGGCGGACGGGUGAGUAACACGUGGGUAACCUGCCUGUAAGACUGGGAUAACUCCGGGAAACCGGGGCUAAUACCGGAUAGUUCUUUUCCUCGCAUGAGGAGAAGUGGAAAGGUGGCUUUUAGCUACCACUUACAGAUGGACCCGCGGCGCAUUAGCUAGUUGGUGAGGUAACGGCUCACCAAGGCAACGAUGCGUAGCCGACCUGAGAGGGUGAUCGGCCACACUGGGACUGAGACACGGCCCAGACUCCUACGGGAGGCAGCAGUAGGGAAUCUUCCGCAAUGGACGAAAGUCUGACGGAGCAACGCCGCGUGAGUGAUGAAGGUUUUCGGAUCGUAAAGCUCUGUUGUUAGGGAAGAACAAGUGCCGUUCAAAUAGGGCGGCACCUUGACGGUACCUAACCAGAAAGCCACGGCUAACUACGUGCCAGCAGCCGCGGUAAUACGUAGGUGGCAAGCGUUGUCCGGAAUUAUUGGGCGUAAAGCGCGCGCAAGCGGUCUCUUAAGUCUGAUGUGAA